rnacentral:rRNA from 1 species
GCAAGUCGAACGGUAACAUGAGAGCUUGCGCUUGAUGACGAGUGGCGCACGGGUGCGUAACGCGUAUGCAACCUACCUUUUACUGAGGGAUAGCCCAGAGAAAUUUGGUUUAAUACCUCAUAGUAUCAUAAUGUUCAUGCAUUAAUGAUUAAAACUUCGGUGGUAAAAGAUGGGCAUGCGUAAGAUUAGCUAGUUGGUAAGGUAACGGCUUACCAAGGCAACGAUCUUUAGGGGGCCUGAGAGGGUGGUC